rnacentral:rRNA from 1 species
CUAAUACAUGCAAGUCGAGCGAACAGAUAAGGAGCUUGCUCCUUUGACGUUAGCGGCGGACGGGUGAGUAACACGUGGGUAACCUACCUAUAAGACUGGGAUAACUUCGGGAAACCGGAGCUAAUACCGGAUAACAUUUGGAACCGCAUGGUUCUAAAGUGAAAGAUGGUUUUGCUAUCACUUAUAGAUGGACCCGCGCCGUAUUAGCUAGUUGGUAAGGUAACGGCUUACCAAGGCGACGAUACGUAGCCGACCUGAGAGGGUGAUCGGCCACACUGGAACUGAGACACGGUCCAGACUCCUACGGGAGGCAGCAGUAGGGAAUCUUCCGCAAUGGGCGAAAGCCUGACGGAGCAACGCCGCGUGAGUGAUGAAGGGUUUCGGCUCGUAAAACUCUGUUAUUAGGGAAGAACAAACGUGUAAGUAACUGUGCACGUCUUGACGGUACCUAAUCAGAAAGCCACGGCUAACUACGUGCCAGCAGCCGCGGUAAUACGUAGGUGGCAAGCGUUAUCCGGAAUUAUUGGGCGUAAAGCGCGCGUAGGCGGUUUCUUAAGUCUGAUGUGAAAGCCCACGGCUCAACCGUGGAGGGUCAUUGGAAACUGGGAAACUUGAGUGCAGAAGAGGAAAGUGGAAUUCCAUGUGUAGCGGUGAAAUGCGCAGAGAUAUGGAGGAACACCAGUGGCGAAGGCGACUUUCUGGUCUGUAACUGACGCUGAUGUGCGAAAGCGUGGGGAUCAAACAGGAUUAGAUACCCUGGUAGUCCACGCCGUAAACGAUGAGUGCUAAGUGUUAGGGGGUUUCCGCCCCUUAGUGCUGCAGCUAACGCAUUAAGCACUCCGCCUGGGGAGUACGACCGCAAGGUUGAAACUCAAAGGAAUUGACGGGGACCCGCACAAGCGGUGGAGCAUGUGGUUUAAUUCGAAGCAACGCGAAGAACCUUACCAAAUCUUGACAUCCUUUGAAAACUCUAGAGAUAGAGCCUUCCCCUUCGGGGGACAAAGUGACAGGUGGUGCAUGGUUGUCGUCAGCUCGUGUCGUGAGAUGUUGGGUUAAGUCCCGCAACGAGCGCAACCCUUAAGCUUAGUUGCCAUCAUUAAGUUGGGCACUCUAGGUUGACUGCCGGUGACAAACCGGAGGAAGGUGGGGAUGACGUCAAAUCAUCAUGCCCCUUAUGAUUUGGGCUACACACGUGCUACAAUGGACAAUACAAAGGGCAGCUAAACCGCGAGGUCAUGCAAAUCCCAUAAAGUUGUUCUCAGUUCGGAUUGUAGUCUGCAACUCGACUACAUGAAGCUGGAAUCGCUAGUAAUCGUAGAUCAGCAUGCUACGGUGAAUACGUUCCCGGGUCUUGUACACACCGCCCGUCACACCACGAGAGUUUGUAACACCCGAAGCCGGUGGAGUAACCAUUUAUGGAGCUAGCCGUCGAAGGUG